UUCGCCCUUAGAGUUUGAUCCUGGCUCAGGACGAACGCUGGCGGCGCGCCUAACACAUGCAAGUCGAACGAGCGAGAGAGAGCUUGCUUUCUCAAGCGAGUGGCGAACGGGUGAGUAACGCGUGAGGAACCUGCCUCAAAGAGGGGGACAACAGUUGGAAACGACUGCUAAUACCGCAUAAGCCCACGACCCGGCAUCGGGUAGAGGGAAAAGGAGCAAUCCGCUUUGAGAUGGCCUCGCGUCCGAUUAGCUAGUUGGUGAGGUAAUGGCCCACCAAGGCGACGAUCGGUAGCCGGACUGAGAGGUUGAACGGCCACAUUGGGACUGAGACACGGCCCAGACUCCUACGGGAGGCAGCAGUGGGGAAUAUUGCACAAUGGGGGAAACCCUGAUGCAGCGACGCCGCGUGGAGGAAGAAGGUCUUCGGAUUGUAAACUCCUGUUGUUGAGGAAGAUAAUGACGGUACUCAACAAGGAAGUGACGGCUAACUACGUGCCAGCAGCCGCGGUAAAGCGUAGGUCACAAGCGUUGUCCGGAAUUACUGGGUGUAAAGGGAGCGCAGGCGGGAAGACAAGUUGGAAGUGAAAUCCAUGGGCUCAACCCAUGAACUGCUUUCAAAACUGUUUUUCUUGAGUAGUGCAGAGGUAGGCGGAAUUCCCGGUGUAGCGGUGGAAUGCGUAGAUAUCGGGAGGAACACCAGUGGCGAAGGCGGCCUACUGGGCACCAACUGACGCUGAGGCUCGAAAGUGUGGGUAGCAAACAGGAUUAGAUACCCUGGUAGUCCACACUGUAAACGAUGAUUUAUUAGGUGUUGGAGGAUUGACCCCUUCAGUGCCGCAGUUAACACAAUAAGUAAUCCUCCUGGGGAGUACGUCCGCAAGGUUGAAACCCAAAGGAAUUGACGGGGGCCCGCACAAGCAGUGGAGUAUGUGGUUUAAUUCGACGCAACGCGAAGAACCUUACCAAGUCUUGACAUCCUGCGACGGACAUAGAAAUAUGUUUUUCCUUCGGGACGCAGAGACAGGUGGUGCAUGGUUGUCGUCAGCUCGUGUCGUGAGAUGUUGGGUUAAGUCCCGCAACGAGCGCAACCCUUAUGGUCAGUUACUACGCAAGAGGACUCUGGCCAGACUGCCGUUGACAAAACGGAGGAAGGUGGGGAUGACGUCAAAUCAUCAUGCCCUUUAUGACUUGGGCUACACACGUACUACAAUGGCGUUAAACAAAGAGAAGCAAGACCGCGAGGUGGAGCAAAACUCAGAAACAACGUCCCAGUUCGGACUGCAGGCUGCAACUCGCCUGCACGAAGUCGGAAUUGCUAGUAAUCGCAGAUCAGCAUGCUGCGGUGAAUACGUUCCGCGGGCCUUGCACACACCGCCCGUCA
rnacentral:rRNA from 1 species